rnacentral:rRNA from 1 species
GACGAACGCUGGCGGCGUGCUUAACACAUGCAAGUCGAACGGUGAACGAGGGAGCUUGCUCCCUCCGGUUCAGUGGCGAACGGGUGAGUAACACGUGAUCAAUCUGCCCCGAACUCUGGGAUAAGCGUUGGAAACGACGUCUAAUACCGGAUACGACGCGGGAGUUCAUCCUCUCCGCGUGGAAAGAACUUCGGUUCGGGAUGAGCUCGCGGCCUAUCAGCUUGUUGGUGCGGUAACGGCUCACCAAGGCGACGACGGGUAGCCGGCGUGAGAGGGGGACCGGCCACAAGGGGAGUGAGAAACGGCCAAGACGCCUACGGGGGGAAGCAGUGGGGAAUAUUGCACAAGGGGCGCAAGCCGGAUGCAGCAACGCGGCGGGGGGGACGACGGAGUUCGGGGUGUAAAACUCUUUUAGCAGGGAGGAAGAGAAAGUGAGGGCACGGGCAGAAAAAGCACCGGCUAACCAUG